UACGUAGGGGGGCAAGCGUUGUCCGGAUUUAUUGGGCGUAAAGAGCGUGUAGGCGGCCAGGUAGGUCGGUUGUGAAAACUGGAGGCUCAACCUCCAGACGUCGAUGGAAACCGUAUGGCUAGAGUCCGGAAGAGGAGAGUGGAAUUCCUGGUGUAGCAGUGAAAUGCGUAGAGAUGUGAAGGAACACCGAUGGCGAAGGCAGCCUCCUGGGCCAGCACUGACGCUCAUGCACGAAAGCGUGGGGAGCAAACAGG
rnacentral:rRNA from 1 species